UGGCAUCGGUGUGGGUGGGUUGGAGAGGCGCAGCAAAGCCUCUUGAAGAAGCCUAUAGCCACUGCAUGUUUUUUUCAGUGUGGAAGGAAGGAAGGUAAGGUUUCAGGCAGUCGAGAAAGCUGCCUGGCUCAGAGCUGCUGGUUGGGG